AGAGCUCAUGGAUGGAUUAAACUAUGAGGGAUUUAGCAUUUAUUGAACUCAGGGAGCAGAAAGCAGGAGAAGGGAAUGAUCCUGCUGGUGCAUGGCUGAAGGAGGCUGGAGUUGGAGGACCGCAGGGAACAAGAUCAUGGGACUCGACAGCUGAGCCCUGCAAGCUAUUUGGCCUAUGAAGGUCCUGACCUGAGAAAACCAUCUUGGACAACUACGCAAGGAGAGGGAAAAAUGCAACACCUAGGAGAUUUCAGUAAACAGUAGAAUCAUGCCAACCUAAUCUGUGUUAAAAUGCUUGGAAUGUGGGAGCCGCCAAUGAUGCCUGUUGUCUGUAUGUCUGACUGAAUCCUUUCUUUUCUCAGAACAGCAAAGCCAAGCCUGGGAACCAGGCCAAAUGCCUGCCACUUACCUUAAAUUGAUCAGCCACUUGGAGAUUCAAACCCCUGAAAGCUGCCACACCGUGAAAACAAGGCCUCCUUCACAUUAAAGGCAAACUGCGACU